UGAGUACGAGAUGCUACGGCGUCGAAGCAGUCUAGGUCAUACUUCCAAGAAAAGCUUGCACUGUCAUAAACAAAGAAUGCCUGUACCAUAACCGACACAGGUGGGUAGGUAGAGUAUACUAAGGAGCGCGAGAUAACUCUCUCUAAGGAACUCGGCAAAAUGACUCCGUAACUUCGGGAGAAGGAGUGCCUUAUUUUUAAGGUUGCAAUAACAAGAUCCAAGCAACUGUUUACCAAAAACACAGGUCUCCGCUAAGUCGUAAGACGAUGUAUGGGGGCUGACGCCUGCCCAGUGCCAGAAGGUUAAAGAAGUUGGUUAGCAUUUGCGAAGCUGAUAACUGAAGCCCUGGUGAACGGCGGCCGUAACUAUAACGGUCCUAAGGUAGCGAAAUUCCUUGUCGGGUAAGUUCCGACCCGCACGAAAGGCGUAAUGAUUUGGAUACUGUCUCGGAGAGGGGCUCGGUGAAAUAGACUUGUCUGUGAAGAUGCGGACUACCUGCACCUGGACAGAAAGACCCUAUGAAGCUUUACUGUAACUUGAGAUUGAAAUUGGACUUUAUUUGCGCAGUAUAGGUGGGAGGCGUUGAGAAUAAUCUUGCGGGAUUAUCGGAGCCAUCAGUGAGAUACCACUCUUGUAAUGUUAGAUUUCUAACUUUGUAUCAUUAUCUGGUCAAAGAACAGUUUCAGGCGGGCAGUUUGACUGGGGCGGUCGCCUCCCAAAGGGUAACGGAGGCGCACAAAGGUUUCCUCUGAACGGGUAGAAAUCGUAUCUAGAGUGUAAAGGCAUAAGGAAGCUUGACUGUGAGACCUACAAGUCGAGCAGGGACGAAAGUCGGUCUUAGUGAUCUGACGGUGCUGAGUGGAAAGGCCGUCACUCAACGGAUAAAAGUUACUCUAGGAUAACAGGCUGAUCUCCCCCAAGAGUUCACAUCGACGGGGAGGUUUGGCACCUCGAUGUCGGCUCAUCGCAUCCUGGGGCGGUAGUACGUCCCAAGGGUUGGGCUGUUCGCCCAUGAAAGCGGUACGCGAGCUGGGUUCAGAACGUCGUGAGACAGUUCGGUCCAUAUCCGGUGUAGGCGUUAGAAUAUUGAAAGGAGCCUUCUCUAGUACGAGAGGACCGAGAAGGACAUACCUCUGGUGUGCCAGUUAUCGUGCCAACGGUAAACGCUGGGUAGCUAUGUAUGGAGUGGAUAACCGCUGAAAGCAUCUAAGUGGGAAGCCCACCUUAAGAUAAGUAUUCUCA
rnacentral:rRNA from 1 species